AUAACAGCGUUAUUUUUUUUUAGAGUUCAAAUCGAAAGAAAAGAUUGCGACCUCGAUGU
rnacentral:tRNA from 1 species